UACGUAGGGUGCAAGCGUUAAUCGGAAUUACUGGGCGUAAAGCGUGCGCAGGCGGUGAUAUAAGUCAGAUGUGAAAUCCCUGGGCUCAACCUAGGAACUGCAUUUGAGACUGUAUCGCUAGAGUGUGUCAGAGGGGGGUAGAAUUCCACGUGUAGCAGUGAAAUGCGUAGAUAUGCGGAGGAACACCGAUGGCGAAGGCAAUCCCCUGGACCUGUACUGACGCUCAUGCACGAAAGCGUGGGGAGCAAACAGGAUUAGAUACCCUGGUAGUCCACGCCCUAAACGAUGUCUACUAGUUGUCGGGACUUAAUUGUCUUGGUAACGCAGCUAACGCGUGAAGUAGACCGCCUGGGGAGUACGGUCGCAAGAUUA
rnacentral:rRNA from 1 species